rnacentral:rRNA from 1 species
GAUGAACGCUGACAGAAUGCUUAACACAUGCAAGUCCACUUGAACUUCGGUUUGGGUGGCGGACGGGUGAGUAACACGUGGAUAACCUACCUAUAAGACUGGGAUAACUUCGGGAAACCGGAGCUAAUACCGGAUGAUAUUUUGAACCGCAUGGUUCAAAAGUGAAAGACGGUCUUGCUGUCACUUAUAGAUGGAUCCGCGCUGCAUUAGCUAGUUGGUAAGGUAACGGCUUACCAAGGCAACGAUGCAUAGCCGACCUGAGAGGGUGAUCGGCCACACUGGAACUGAGACACGGUCCAGACUCCUACGGGAGGCAGCAGUAGGGAAUCUUCCGCAAUGGGCGAAAGCCUGACGGAGCAACGCCGCGUGAGUGAUGAAGGUCUUCGGAUCGUAAAACUCUGUUAUUAGGGAAGAACAUAUGUGUAAGUAACUGUGCACAUCUUGACGGUACCUAAUCAGAAAGCCACGGCUAACUACGUG